CCUGGGUACAGGUGCAAGGCACAAGGCCAGAGUCAAACUCUUUCAUCUGUGGGACCCCAGGCAAUCUGCCACCCCUCCCCAUCCCGCAGAGCCUGUAACCACCACCCACCUCGGAGGGCUGGCAAGGAGCGAUGCAAUGUUUGUGGAGUGUUUAACUCAGGCCAACCCCUGGAGCCAUUUGGGAAGAGCUGGUCUCUCCUGGAGCCAGGAAGAGCAAGCCAAGAAACCCACUCGUGAAGAGGAAGGCCCCACCACGGCUGUGGGUGGCAUGCACAUGUGGACCUAAAGGACUCAUCUCUCCCAGCAGCGUCACCCCAGAGACCAAGCUGUCAGCACGUGAGCCUUAGGUGACGUUCAACAUCUAGAGGGAGCAGAGCUGGGUGACUUCCCAGAGAGACUCGGCAGCUGAGAGGACACAAGACCGCAAACAGAUGACCCAAGGGGCAGAGUCCUGGUCAGUGUUUCCUGCAGUUGUCUUAGGAACCCAAGAAGAGAGUCUGCCUGAGAAAGAAAAGCUGACAUUAAAGCCGUAAAACUGGGUAUGAAUGAACAAUGGUGGUAUCAAGCUGUGCCUGAGCGGCUGUGGCUGGCUUUCAGGACUGUGAGACAUUAAAUAUCUCUCGUGAGUUGAGCAAGAAGAAGCCACACACUGGCAUAACCCAGCAUAACCCAGCAGGAGUCAGAAGGCAGAGCCUGGGACUUGGGACUCCAG
rnacentral:lncRNA from 1 species